GUUGUCGUGUCUGUUCAUGUUCUUGAUGGACUGGUGGCGUUGUUAUUUAUAUUUCAGGAGGUUGAAAUGAUGUCAAAUAUACAAGAAUCCACUGUAGUGUUAAAAGCUUCUGCUCAUAUCGCAUCUUACAGGUCUUGAUAACAACUGUAACUCAUGAAGUGGCCAUGGCAUUUUUAUUGGAAAAGAACCAAAUGAGCCAUGGCCCUUAUGCUCACAAGGGUUUUACUUAUUUCAGUGCACUUCAUUUUGCCCAUAUGGGGAAAUGUUUUGGGACUUCAGAAGAGAGACUGGGUGGGCAGUCAAUCUGCAAGCAUGAUAGAGGGUGAUGUGGAAUGUUUCUCUGAGUACAUGGAACUUUGGAUUCAUAGAAUGAGAAUUGAGGGACUAAGGCUCUGGCUGUCUGGAAUAUUACGGAUUUAAGGUAUUUUUUUUUUGGUGUUGGUUACCAGAGAGAUCCCUGUGGAUAACUGGAAUAAUGAGUUCGACUGGUCUCUGGCCUUGAGAGGGAGUCUGGUGGUGGCUUUGGAGGAGUCCAAUUUUAUUCGAGUAAAUGUUGAAAUGCAUAAACCAAACAUAACAGUUCAGGGGAGAAGACACCAUCUUAAGUGCAGGAGUGCAUCAAUCAGUCAGGUGAAAAACUUCAGCAAAAUUUCUACAAGAUAGAUGCUAUUCUCACCUUUAAAGAGACAAAUCAGAAAAUGCACUGGACCAUGGAAAAAUCCCUUUGUUCAGAUAUGUUAAAAUCACACCUCCAUUUAACACAUGAUGACGCACAAGAAGCUAAUGUGACAACACUUUCACCCGAGGGGAUAACAGACAAGCUAGAAGUUCCUGAUUAUUACAACAAAGAGUUUACCCCUCCUGUGCAACCAGAGAUGUCUACAGCAUCACAGACAGCAGAAGAAGAAUCCAGUAUAACCUCAGUACAAAUCCAACAACUCCAAACAUCUGAUGCACUUAGUACAUCAUCAACGGAGAUAGUAACCACCUAUUUACAGCUACGCUUUACGGUCUAAAGCACAACAAAGAUCUCUGGAGAAGUUGAUCUGUGCAUCAUUGACUGUGAGGGGCUGCAGUGCAGAACGGAUGGAUAUGCAGGUACCAACCGCACAGUCAGUCAAAUCAGUCAGUGAUUUUCCAAACAACACUAUUACUGAUGGUUGUCCAUUAAUCACAACGGUUGUAAUCACAGUUUGAAAUACAGCUACACAUUUAAGCACCAUUUUCACUCAGACUGGGAUUUACAACACAACAGUCAAGUGGACCCAUGCAUCUUCUCCGCUGACAAGCAAUCACAUGUGAGGAAUGAUUACAUCUAAAACUGUGUUUGUCGUGCCAUUUAAAUACAAUCUACUGUCUCAGA